AAGAAAGAACAUUUGCUCGCAGUUUUUCACAGAUCCUCUGCCUCUUGUAGAGUAGGUUAAGGCGAGUUCGUAGUGACCGUCCCAGAAAGAAAUGGCCAGGAGACGUCCCGGUAUUGACGAAGAAAUUCAUUCAGGUUAGGUAUGUUGUAUGGAUCCAGUUGUAUUGGCCAUUAUUUUUAGGGGGUUCUUGGCGGUUUGAACAUAUCUCUCGACUUGGCCGUUGGUAAGGAGCAGUGAACUUAUGGUACUUAACAUUAAGAAAUAGAAAUGCGUAAGAUAGCCAGCAUUACUUGCCAUACGACUGAUGCAGAGCACGGGAAGCAAGUGGUUUUGUACAGUGCAAAAUGUGCAUAUAAAUAAAAAAAAAAUUUCUGUACUGCCCAUACUAUGUCCAGUGCCUCUUUGUCGAUUUGAGUGUACCUUGGCUUGUUUUAGCAAUAUAUUGGAUGGUGGAAACGGAAACACACGGCAUAACGCAGAAAAGUAAGGGCAUGGUUGGUGUACGAUAUUUGCGGAUAGAAAAGCCUCCCUUAUUGCAACCCCUGAUAGUAUCGCAGUGUGAAAUGAUGACUUCCGGAGUGCUUUGUAUUUUGUCUGCUCUCCUGCUACCUCUACGCAGAGGCCUUCCCUAUUGCAACCCACGACAGUAUCCAGUGUGAAAUGGUGACUUCCGGAGUGCUUUGUAUUUUGUCUGGUCUCCUGCUACUUUAAUCUACACAGAGGCCUCCCUUAUUAGAACCCCCGAUAGUAUCCUAGGGUGAAAUGGUGACUUCCGGAGUGCUUUGUAUUUUGUCUGCUCUCCUGCUACUUUAAUCUACACAGAGGCCUUCCUUAUUGCAACCUCCGAUAGUAUCGCAGUGAGAAAUGAUGACUUCCUGAGUGCUUUGUAUUUUGUCUGCUCUCCUGCUACCUUAAUCUACACAGAGGGCUUCCUUAUUGCAACCCCCGAUAGUAUCGUAGUGUGAAAUGAUGACUUCCGGAGUGCUUUGUAUGUUGUCUGCUCUCCUGCUACUUUAAUCUACACAGAGGGCUUCCUUAUUGCAACCCCCGAUAGUAUCGUAGUGUGAAAUGAUGACUUCCGGAGUGCUUUGUAUGUUGUCUGCUCUCCUGCUACUUUAAUCUACACAGAGGUAGGGUUUGAAUACCUGGCGAUGACCCAGCAUGUAACUAGAGCAUUUCUUUUCUUUCAGGGCUUCCUUAUUGCAACCCCCGAUAGUAUCGUAGUGUGAAAUGAUGACUUCCGGAGUGCUUUGUAUGUUGUCUGCUCUCCUGCUACUUUAAUCUACACAGAGGGCUUCCUUAUUGCAAUCCCCGAUAGUAUCGUAGUGUGAAAUGAUGACUUCCGGAGUGCUUUGUAUGUUGUCUGCUCUCCUACUACUUUAAUCUACACAGAGGUAGGGUUUGAAUACCUGGCGAUGACCCAGCAUUUAACUAGAGCAUUUCUUUUCUUUCAGGGCUUCCUUAUUGCCACCCCCGUGGAGUGCUUUGUAUACUUUGUCUGCUCUCCUGCUACUUUAAUCUACACAGAGGCCUUCCCUAUUGCAACCCCCGAUAGUAUCGUAGUGUGAAAUGAUCACUUCGGGAGUGCUUUGUAUUUUGUCUGCUCUCCUGCUACUUUAAUUUACACAGAGAGCUUCCUUAUUGCAACCCCCGAUAGUAUCGUAGUGUGAAAUGGUGACUCCAGAGUGCUUUGUAUGUUGUCUGCUCUCCUGCUGCUUUAAUCUACACAGAGCUAGGGUUUUAUUACCUGGCGAUGACCCGGCAUGUAACUAGAGCAUUAUUGUUUUAUUUCAGGUCAUCCCUAUUGCAACCCCCGAUAGUAUCGUAGUGUGAAAUGAUGACUUCCUGAGUGCUUUGUAUGCUCUCCUGCUACUUUGAUCUACACCGAGGUACAAUCAUGUCAUAAUGGUAGCAAAGCUGAAAAAAUCCAACUCCAAUUUAUUAAAGAAAGUGGAAUAGAUAAAAACGAAGGGAUCCACCAUCAUCAGGUGCCAUGUCUUUUUAAUUAUGAUAAAGAUACAGAC